UACGUAGGGGGCAAGCGUUGUCCGGAUUUACUGGGCGUAAAGAGCGUGUAGGCGGCCACGCAGGUCCGUUGUGAAAACUGGAGGCUCAACCUCCAGCUGUCGACGGAAACCGUAUGGCUAGAGUCCGGAAGAGGAGAGUGGAAUUCCUGGUGUAGCGGUGAAAUGCGCAGAUAUCAGGAGGAACACCGGUGGCGAAGGCGGUUCUCUGGGCCUUACCUGACGCUGAGGAGCGAAAGCGUGGGGAGCAAACAGG
rnacentral:rRNA from 1 species